AUUGAACGCUGGUGGCAGGCUUAACACAUGCAAGUCGAACGGUAACAGGAAUUAGCUUGCUAAUUUGCUGACGAGUGGCGGACGGGUGAGUAAUGCUUGGGAAUCUGGCUUAUGGAGGGGGAUAACUACGGGUAACUGUAGCUAAUACCGCGUAAAAUCUUCGGAUUAAAGGGUGGGACUUUCGAGCCACCUGCCAUAAGAUGAGCCCAAGUGGGAUUAGGUAGUUGGUUAGGUAAAGGCUGACCAAGCCGACGAUCUCUAGCUGGUCUGAGAGGAUGACCAGCCACACUGGAACUGAGACACGGUCCAGACUCCUACGGGAGGCAGCAGUGGGGAAUAUUGCACAAUGGGGGGAACCCUGAUGCAGCCAUGCCGCGUGAAUGAAGAAGGCCUUCGGGUUGUAAAGUUCUUUCGGUGACGAGGAAGGUUGAUAGGUUAAUAGCCUAUCAAAUUGACGUUAAUCACAGAAGAAGCACCGGCUAACUCCGUG
rnacentral:rRNA from 1 species